UACGUAGGGUGCGAGCGUUGUCCGGAAUUAUUGGGCGUAAAGGGCUCGUAGGCGAUUUGUCGCGUCGGGAGUGAAAUCCACUGGCUUAACUGGUGGCUUGCUUUCGAUACGGGCAGACUGGAGGUAUGCAGGGGAGAGCGGAAUUCCCAGUGUAGAGGUGAAAUGCGCAGAUAUCAGGAAGAACACCCGUGGCGAAAGCGGCUCUCUGGAACGGUACUGACGCUGAGACGCGAAAGCGUGGGGAGCGAACAGG
rnacentral:rRNA from 1 species